rnacentral:rRNA from 1 species
GUAGUCAUAUGCUUGUCUCAAAGAUUAAGCCAUGCAUGUCUAAGUAUAAGCAACUUUGUACUGUGAAACUGCGAAUGGCUCAUUAAAUCAGUUAUAGUUUAUUUGAUGGUUUUUGCUACAUGGAUAACUGUGGUAAUUCUAGAGCUAAUACAUGCAUUCAAGCCCCGACUUCUGGAAGGGGUGUAUUUAUUAGAUAAAAAUCAACUUUGUUGGUGAAUCAUGAUAACUUCUCGGACCGCAUGGCCUCGUGCUGGCGGUGCUUCAUUCAAAUAUCUGCCCUAUCAACUGUCGAUGGUAGGAUAGAGGCCUACCAUGGUUGCAACGGGUAACGGGGAAUGA